rnacentral:lncRNA from 1 species
CCAGCAGCAACUGUAGCUCAUAGCCCAAGAAUUUGUGAAGUUUGGGCUUGCAACUUGGAUGAAGAGAUGAAGAAAAUUCGUCAAGUUAUCCGAAAAUAUCAUUACGUUGCUAUGGUCACCGAGUUUCCAGGUGUGGUUGCAAGACCUAUUAGAGAAUUGAGGAGCAAUCCUGACUAUCAGUAUCAACUAUUGCAGUGUAAUGUAGACUUCUUAAAGAUAAUUCAGCUAGGACUGACAUUUAUGAAUGAGCAAGGUGAAUACCCUCCAGGAACUUCAACUUGGCAGCUUAAUUUUAAAUUUAAUUUGAUGGAGGACAUGCAUGCCCAGCACUCUAUAGAGCUACUAACAACAUCUGAUAUCCAGUAUAAAAAACAUUAGGAGGAAGGAAUUGAGACCCAGUACUUUGCUGAACUUAUGACUUCGGGAGUGCUCCUCUGUGAAGGGGUCAAAUGGUUGUCAUUUCAUAGCAGUUAUGACUUUGGCUAUUUAAUUAAAAUCCUGACCAACUCUAACUUGCCUGAAGAAGAACUUGACUUCUUUGAGAUCCUUUGACUGUUUUUUCCUGUCAUUUAUGCUGUGAAGUAGCUCAUGAAGAGCUGCAAAGGUGGUGGCAGAAUAGGUAGAGCUGGAACGGAUAGGACCACAGCAUCAGGCAGGAUCUGAUUCAUCGCUCACAGGAAUGGCCUUUUCUAAAAUGAGAGAAAUGUUCUUUCAAGAUCAUAUGGAUGAUGCCAAAUAUUGUGAUCAUUUGCAUGGCCUUGGUUCUGGUUCCUCCUGUGUACAGAAUGGCACAGGCAAUGCAUAUGAAGAGAAAGCCAGCAUUCAGUCAUGA